rnacentral:rRNA from 1 species
AUACAGAGGGAGCUAGCGUUGUUCGGAAUUACUGGGCGUAAAGCGUACGCAGGCGGCUUGGUAAGUAGAGGGUGAAAUCCCAGAGCUCAACUCUGGAACUGCCCCCUAAACUGCCGAGCUAGUAUCCUGGAGAGGUGAGUGGAAUUCCUAGUGUAGAGGUGAAAUUCGUAGAUAUUAGGAAGAACACCAGUGGCGAAGGCGACUCACUGGACAGGUAUUGACGCUGAGGUACGAAAGCGUGGGGAGCGAACAGGAUUAGAUACCCUAGUAGUCC